UCAUUCUUGUUUGUAUCAUUCCCAUUUAUAGCUCCGACUGGUUCAUUAUUUUUUCAUUUUUGGAGAAGCAAAUAUUGUCGCUCGUUGGUUUUGCAAAAGUGAACAUUGUUUGUCCUUUGCAAUUUGCACCUACUAGAUUUUCAGAGUGGUCAUUUGGGGAUUAUCAGUGGCAGAUUUCGAAGGCUUGUGUUCUUGUUUUUUCAUUGCAUUGUGUUUUCCGCCCUGUGAAGACUUCGAAAGCUCACCUCGACGCUUGCAUCUCAAGUCACAUUUCAAAGAUUCACAUAUAAAGGUUACCAACGGUCUGAUGCACCAAUUAACAUACCUCGGAAUUUCCUUCUCUCGUGUUGCUCAAAAAAAUAGGAUUAAUUUGGACAGUUUCACUCUUUUAUUAUGAACAAUAAAAACU